rnacentral:rRNA from 1 species
GACCCUGUCCUCCUAUUUUCAGUUGGUUUUGGCAGCGCGAGGACUAGGGUAAUGAUUAAUAGGGAUAGUUGGGGGCAUUAAUAUUUAAUUGUCAGAGGUGAAAUUCUUGGAUUUAUGAAAGAUUAACUUCUGCGAAAGCAUCUGCCAAGGAUGUUUUCAUUAAUCAAGAACGAAAGUUAGGGGAUCGAAGACGAUCAGAUACCGUCGUAGUCUUAACCAUAAACGAUGCCGACCAGCGAUUAGGAGACGUUGAAUACAAAACACCACCAUCGGCGCGGUCGUCCUUGGCGUGUCUCGGCUUCACGGCCGGGGCGCGCGAGGGCGGUUUAUCCCGGUGGCACCGGUGA